rnacentral:lncRNA from 1 species
AAAGAGUUAACAAAUCCAUUGCAUGCUCACUGAAUCUGCUAUUCAACUCUUAUAAUUGUUUAUCAAUGGUAGUGAAAAUGAUUUCAACUUUAAAGUAAUGUUGAAUUGUGACUUGAUUCUCUUCAAGACGGGAGCGUCCAAAUCUUGUUGUUGAAUGAACAUCAUUAAGAUCAGGAAUCUCAAUACCAUGCUUUUAACAAAAAGAUAC